UGACGAGUGGCGGACGGGUGAGUAACGCGUAGGAAUCUGCCCAUUUGAGGGGGAUACCAGUUGGAAACGACUGUUAAUACCGCAUAAUAUCUGUGGAUUAAAGGUGGCUUUCGGGCUGUCGCAGAUGGAUGAGCCUGCGUUGGAUUAGCUAGUUGGUGGGGUAAGGGCCCACCAAGGCUACGAUCCAUAGCUGAUUUGAGAGGAUGAUCAGCCACAUUGGGACUGAGACACGGCCCAAACUCCUACGGGAGGCAGCAGUGGGGAAUAUUGGACAAUGGGGGCAACCCUGAUCCAGCAAUGCCAUGUGUGUGAAGAAGGCCCUAGGGUUGUAAAGCACUUUAGUUGGGGAG
rnacentral:rRNA from 1 species